GAUGAACGCUGGCGGCGUGCCUAAUACAUGCAAGUCGAGCGAACAGACGAGGAGCUUGCUCCUCUGACGUUAGCGGCGGACGGGUGAGUAACACGUGGAUAACCUACCUAUAAGACUGGGAUAACUUCGGGAAACCGGAGCUAAUACCGGAUAAUAUAUUGAACCGCAUGGUUCAAUAGCGAAAGACGGUUUUGCUGUCACUUAUAGAUGGAUCCGCGCCGCAUUAGCUAGUUGGUAAGGUAACGGCUUACCAAGGCAACGAUGCGUAGCCGACCUGAGAGGGUGAUCGGCCACACUGGAACUGAGACACGGUCCAGACUCCUACGGGAGGCAGCAGUAGGGAAUCCUCCGCAAUGGGCGAAAGCCUGACGGAGCAACGCCGCGUGAGUGAUGAAGGUCUUCGGAUCGUAAAACUCUGUUAUUAGGGAAGAACAAAUGUGUAAGUAACUAUGCACGUCUUGACGGUACCUAAUCAGAAAGCCACGGCUAACUACGUG
rnacentral:rRNA from 1 species